GCCAAGAUGGCGGAAGCGGAGGAGUCUCCAGGAGACCCGGGGACAGCAUCGCCCAGGCCCCUGUUUGCAGGCCUUUCAGAUAUAUCCAUCUCACAAGACAUCCCCGUAGAAGGAGAAAUCACCAUUCCUAUGAGAUCUCGCAUCCGGGAGUUUGACAGCUCCACAUUAAAUGAAUCUGUUCGCAAUACCAUCAUGCGUGAUCUAAAAGCUGUUGGGAAAAAAUUCAUGCAUGUUUUGUACCCAAGGAAAAGUAAUACUCUUUUGAGAGAUUGGGAUUUGUGGGGCCCUUUGAUCCUUUGUGUGACACUCGCAUUAAUGCUGCAAAGAGACUCUGCAGAUAGUGAAAAAGAUGGAGGGCCCCAAUUUGCAGAGGUGUUUGUCAUUGUCUGGUUUGGUGCAGUUACCAUCACCCUCAACUCAAAACUUCUUGGAGGGAACAUAUCUUUUUUUCAGAGCCUCUGUGUGCUGGGUUACUGUAUACUUCCCUUGACAGUAGCAAUGCUGAUUUGCCGGCUGGUACUUUUGGCUGAUCCAGGACCUGUAAACUUCAUGGUUCGGCUUUUUGUGGUGAUUGUGAUGUUUGCCUGGUCUAUAGUUGGUAAGUAUGUACUUAUUUCCACAAUAACAGAACAGACAAAAACAUGAUUUAAUGAUGAAGACCAGAUGAGGAGCAGUAUAAGUCCAAAGUUAGAUGUGAGUGAUAUGAUUCUUGAUAGUAUUAUCCAUAGAACCCUCUUCCCUGAGUAGGCAAUGAUGGGGCUUAUCUGAGUUGGAUAUCUGGACUUAUAAGAUGUGGAGAGUCACAUCUUUUUUCUUUCUUU
rnacentral:lncRNA from 1 species